AUUGAACGCUGGCGGAAUGCUUUACACAUGCAAGUCGAACGGCAGCACGGACUUCGGUCUGGUGGCGAGUGGCGAACGGGUGAGUAAUGUAUCGGAACGUGCCCAGUCGUGGGGGAUAACGUAGUGAAAAUUACGCUAAUACCGCAUACGAUCUAUGAUGAAAGCGGGGGAUCGCAAGACCUCGCGCGAUCGGAGCGGCCGAUAUCAGAUUAGGUAGUUGGUGGGGUAAAGGCCCACCAAGCCAACGAUCUGUAGCUGGUCGGAGAGGACGACCAGGCAACGGGGAGAUGAGACGCGGCCGAGACUCCUAGGGGGGGCAGCGGGGGGGAUUUUGGGACAAUGGGCGAAAGCCUGUUCACGCCAUCCCGGGUGCGGGAGGAAGGCCCUGGGGUUGUAAACUGUUUUUGUACAAAACAAAAAGGUUUCAACUAAUACUGGGGGCUCAGGAGGGUACUGUAAGAAUAAGCACCGGUUAACUACGUGCCAGCAGCCGAAGUAA
rnacentral:rRNA from 1 species